UUUUUGGGUGGCGAGUGGCGGACGGGUGAGUAAUGUCUGGGGAUCUGCCCGGUAGAGGGGGAUAACCACUGGAAACGGUGGCUAAUACCGCAUAACGUCGCAAGACCAAAGAGGGGGACCUUCGGGCCUCUCACUAUCGGAUGAACCCAGAUGGGAUUAGCUAGUAGGUGGGGUAACGGCUCACCUAGGCGACGAUCCCUAGCUGGUCUGAGAGGAUGACCAGCCACACUGGAACUGAGACACGGUCCAGACUCCUACGGGAGGCAGCAGUGGGGAAUAUUGCACAAUGGGCGCAAGCCUGAUGCAGCCAUGCCGCGUGUAUGAAGAAGGCCUUCGGGUUGUAAAGUACUUUCAGCGGGGAGGAAGGGAUGAAGCUUAAUACGCUUCGUCAUUGACGUUACCCGCAGAAGAAGCACCGGCUAACUCCGUGCCAGCAGCCGCGGUAAUACGGAGGGUGCAAGCGUUAAUCGGAAUUACUGGGCGUAAAGCGCACGCAGGCGGUCUGUCAAGUCGGAUGUGAAAUCCCCGGGCUUAACCUGGGAACUGCAUUCGAAACUGGCAGGCUAGAGUCUUGUAGAGGGGGGUAGAAUUCCAGGUGUAGCGGUGAAAUGCGUAGAGAUCUGGAGGAAUACCGGUGGCGAAGGCGGCCCCCUGGACAAAGACUGACGCUCAGGUGCGAAAGCGUGGGGAGCAAACAGGAUUAG
rnacentral:rRNA from 1 species